GAUGAACGCUGGCAGCGUGCCUAAUACAUGCAAGUCGAGCGAACAGACGAGGAGCUUGCUCCUCUGUCGUUUGCGGAGGACGGGUGAGUCACACGUGGAUAACCUACCUAUAAGACUGGGAUCACUUGGGGAAACCGGAGCUAAUCCCGGAUAAUAUCUUGAACCGCAUGGUUCAAUAGUGAAAGACGGUUUUGCUGUCACUUAUAGAUGGUUAUGAGCCGCAUUAGCUAGUUGGUAAGGUAACAGCUUACCACGGCGAGCAUGCGUAGCCGAGCUGAGAGGGUGAUCGGCCACACGAGAACGGGGACACGGUCCAGAGUCCUACGGGAGGCAGCAGUAGGGAACCGGCCGCAGUGGGCGAAAACCUGACGGAGCAGCGCCACGUGAGUGAUGAAGGUCUUCGGAUCGGAAAACUCUGUUAUGAGUGAAGAACAAAUGUGUAAGUAACUAUGCACGUCUUGACGGUACCUAAUCAGAAAGCCACGGCUAACUACGUG
rnacentral:rRNA from 1 species